rnacentral:tRNA from 1 species
AACUUUUAAAGGAUAACAGUCAAUCCAGUGGUCUUAGGAGCCAUCCAUC